UACAGAGGGUGCGAGCGUUGUCCGGAAUCACUGGGCGUAAAGGGCGCGUAGGUGGUGACCUAAGCGUGCGGUGAAAGCCCGAGGCUCAACCUCGGGUCGGCCGUGCGAACUGGGUCACUGGAGCAGAAUAGAGGCAGGUGGAAUUCCGGGUGUAGCGGUGGAAUGCGUAGAGAUCCGGCGGAACACCGGUGGUGAAGGCGGUCUCCUGGGCCGAGGGCCGACGCUGAGGCGCGAGAGCGUGGGGAGCGAACCGG
rnacentral:rRNA from 1 species